ensembl:lncRNA
AUGAUGACAACCCACGGUGGAGCCGACGGAGGGAGGGGCCAUAGAGGGAGAAUGCCUGCAGACUCCAGGGGUGCAUCUGGAGGAGCGGAGUCCAGAGGAGAUGGCGGGUUGACACCUGACCAAGGCAGAGCCGGAGGGAUGAGGGAGCCCGGUGGAUCUGUGGGUGAUGGUGGAGGCGAGGGAGCUAGGAGCCACUGGGUCUACAGGCCGAGGCGGAGUCUGGACCUUGGAGGCUGGAGGCUGUGGUGAGGGAUUCUUCAGGCAUGGCGAAACUGGAGAAUGGCAGACCCGCUGAGCUCACAUCUCGCCAGAUGACAGCGGUGGAGGAGGCAGGAGCAGGCACGUUGGUGGGCAUUCGUGAGCCUCCGGGCUCAAAGCCCACUCCUGGCUGGACUUGGAGUCUCUCUCAUGGCUGGACUGGGAAAUGGGAGCCCACUCUGGACUGGACGUGGGGACAGGAGAUGACUGAGGGCUGGACGGAACCAGCAGGGAUGAAGGAGAGAGGAUAAGGGGCAAAUCGGUUUCCCAGUCAAUAAGGUCCCCCUCGAAGUCCAGCAGUCCCAGAUGCAUCAGAUGAUAAUCAGCUCACCCUCAGCCAUGGUGCAGGAUGAGGAGCUCCACUCUGCGCUCUCACCAUCCACGGCUUGCUCCCUCGCGGUGGGCACUGUCGCCGCCUCUCACACCUGGUCUGACGGGUUAAGCUCGAAGUCCGGGGUGAUCCUCUGCUCAGUUGCUCGGCUUUGCACUGGCUCGUGGAUUGCAGCGGGAAAUGGCUCUCCAUCAACGGUGGGCUCGGGCUGAUAAUCCGCAUCGAGGGGAGAUGGUGGGCUGGGCUCUGGGUCGGGAUGUGAAAGGCGGUGAAAUCUGCUCAAGAACCAUUUUUGGACGAUGGCACUCUGCACGUGAUGUUUAAACUGGCAUCGUAAAACGCACAGAGCGCGUUGUCCGUGUAGCUGGUGGUGUAUACUAAGAGCCAGAAGAGUCUCGUAUGGUCCUUGAGCAAUCUCUCCCCCUGCUUCAGCAGGAGGAGGAGAUAUUCCGGGCAAAGCAGGGCAUCCAUGAGGGUACACAAUGGAAAAAAAGACACUGGGUGAAAAUGGGAAACAAAACGGAGGGUAGACACAUGGAGGUUACUGUUUUGGUCCGGUCUUCUGUCACGUUACACUGUUUAGGAAGAACAGGGGAGGCACGAAGGAACAUUUAGCACUCUUCAAGGAAAUCAAGGAAACACUGGGAAUCAUGACAACAGGAGAGCAACACACAUAGUACACUAGUAGACCCAACAAACACAUGCUGAACAGACUGGGGCUUAUAAAGACAGGAUAACGUGGGACAGACAGGUGCGGGGAAUCAACUAAUAAUCAAACUAUACAAGGACAGGAAACAGACCAAAUAAGGCAAAACAGGUCCAAUCCUGACAGUGAUAUUUUGCACCAGUUACUACAAUACAGUAAAUGCCCCCCCGCCCCAUAAAAAAACAAAAACAAACAAUAAUACCACAGUACAAUAUCAAAAAAACAACAUGGUUAUUCUACUUUUUUGUAAGUGGAGAAAAAUAAACAGAAUAAGGGAGAAAAAAACAAAAGAAAAACUAGCGAAAAGGAAAGAAACGUGGCUUAAAACACACACAAGCUUGAGUGGGAGCUGGAAGAGCAGAAUUCCAGAGACUGGAGAGCCAUGGGGCCGGCAGCGGAAGUGUGCUAAAGCUCUCUCCAGUGACCCCUGACCUUGCAGAUACCAUUCCCAUCAACUCCUCCUCCAGCUGUCUGCACUCAGCCACCCAGCAGUCCCGCAAACAGUCCUCCUCCUCUCCUCUCCUCCCCCCACUCCCUCGCUCUUUCUUCCCUUGUGCUCUUUCCAUCUCCCCCGCCGUACAUCACUCAUCCACCACGCCAUCCUUUCAUCAAGUACAGUCCCACCUCAGCUCAGAGCAUGAUUACACACACACACACAUAUAUAUAUAUAUAUAUAUAUAUAUAUAUAUAAAUAAAA